UGAAUAUAUCUAUUUGCCGCUGACGUACCCAUAAAGCCAUGCGGCUCGUAAUACAUAUGUGUAAGUAGGUAAAAUACCUAAUAUUAAACAGAACGACCAAUUCAGUACAACUACAAAAAUUUGCCGCACAUGACAUUGGAGCGCUGAGGGUUCUCACCCGGUACAAAAUUUAAGACAACAGGCCUGAGGGUGCCUCAGGGCGUCGUCUCAGAGGAAGAAUACCUAUUUGGAAGAAUCAAUCGACCCUAGUGGGUCGAUAGCGAUAAACUCUGAAUGAGGGAAAUCGUCCACCACGCCGGCGGGAUCGGGGUUCUGGGGUUGGUGUCGCGUGCUGAUUGGCCGCCUCUAUGGCUAGAGUAAUCGGGUCGUCGGGAUCGUAUAUUACAUCCUUGAUUAUUGCACACACAUACAAGAAACCUAUUAAAAUAUACACAACAAAUAUACAGCAGCCUUGCUGUUCUACAGCGACUUGUUCCAGGCGAGCAGAGGCAGGAAGUAUUAGUACAUUUUGAUGCCAUGUUUUUUCAUUUAGUACCUAUUCUUAGUCUAGCACGGAAACAAGGUAUUAUAAAUUAUCUGUUUCUAUGGGAAAAAUAUUCUCCUAAAAAUAUUAAUAAUAAAAAUAACUGAUAAGCACUCGUUAAUUCAA